rnacentral:rRNA from 1 species
CCUACGGGAGGCUGCAGUGAGGAAUAUUGGUCAAUGGCCGGAAGGCUGCACCAGCCAAGUCGCGUGAGGGACGACUGCCCUAUGGGUUGUAAACCUCUUUUAUAAGGGAAGAAUCCAUGCUACGUAUAGCAUGCUGCCUGUACCUUAUGAAUAAGCAUCGGCUAACUCCGUGCCAGCCGCCGCGGUACUACGGAGGAUGCGAGCGUUAUCCGGAUUUAUUGGGUUUAACGGGUGCGUAGGCGGUUUUUUAAGUUAGUGGUUAAACGUCGGGGCUUCACCUUGAUUUGCCAUUAAUACUGUAAGACGCGAGUUCAGACGAGGUAGGCGGAAUAAGUUAAGUAGCGGUGAAAUGCUUAGAUAUAACUUAGAACUCCGAUAGCGAAGGCAGCUUACCAGACUGCGACUGACGCUGAAGCACGAGAGCGUGGGUAGCGAACAGGAUUAGAUACCCUAGUAGUC